CAGCCGCCGCGGGAAUACGGAGGGUGCAAGCGUUAAUCGGAAUUACUGGGCGUAAAGCGUGCGUAGGCGGUUCGUUAAGACAGAUGUGAAAUCCCCGGGCUUAACCUGGGAACUGCAUUUGUGACUGGCGAGCUAGAGUAUGGCAGAGGGGGGUAGAAUUCCACGUGUAGCAGUGAAAUGCGUAGAGAUGUGGAGGAAUACCGAUGGCGAAGGCAGCCCCCUGGCCAAUACUGACGCUCAUGCACGAAAGCGUGGGGAGCAAACAGGAUUAGAUACCCGCGUAGUCCCUGUCUCUUAUACA
rnacentral:rRNA from 1 species